UACGUAGGGGCUAGCGUUGUCCGGAAUCAUUGGGCGUAAAGAGCGUGUAGGCGGCUCGGUAAGUCCGCUGUGAAAGUCCAGGGCUCAACCCUGGAAUGCCAGUGGAAACUGUCGAGCUAGAGUCCGGAAGAGGCGAGUGGAAUUCCUGGUGUAGCGGUGAAAUGCGCAGAUAUCAGGAGGAACACCAAUGGCGAAGGCAGCUCGCUGGGACGGUACUGACGCUGAGACGCGAAAGCGUGGGGAGCAAACAGG
rnacentral:rRNA from 1 species